UAACAAGUAUUGGUUGUGAAUUCAAGUUUUAAAGUUUGAAUUCACAACUAUAAAUAGUGUUAGUUGUGAAUUCGCGUGAAUUCACAGCCCACACUAUUUCAAGUUGUGAAUUCACAACCGAUAAAACUUGAAUUCACAAUCAAUAUUUUUUCAAGUUGUGAAUUCACAACCAACGCCGAUAAUUCAGUUGUGAAUUCAUAAACUUGGUUGUGAAUUCAAGAACAUUUGUACAAAAUUGAGCGAUUUUCAUCAAUUUCUUCAAUCUGUGAUCCAAUAUACUUAGUAUUCAAUCAAAGCAAAGCUUAUGCAGAAAAUUUAUUACAUUUUCUUUCUUGAAACGAAAUACAUCGCUUGUAAACAUCAAAAAUCCCCAAAAUAAGAAAAAUUUAAAAAAGCCCCAAGUUCAUCUCAAAUUAGGGCAUGAUUUCCCCAAAUCAGGAAACUAAAUCAAAAACUAAAUCACCAGAGACUUCACGCGAUUAUUUUCUUCGUGAUUAUAUUUCUUCUUGAAUUACAAUACGAAAUGUUAUGAAACAAACUAGUAAAGUGAUAUAGAUCCAGCAACUACUUAUGAUGCAAACAAGUAGAUCAAGAAUUAUUAGGAAAUCUUAGUAAUAAUCGAAGACGUCAAAUUCCAGAAAAGAUUACAAGCUGCUAUUGAUGUAUGAUUUUUGGUGGAAGGCAGCUGCAAAAGCAUCCAUUUUAAGCGGUGUCAUGGACAUGCAGAUCUCAACUCCCCCGUCUCUUUCCUUAGUAAAAUAAUAGAGACUUCGGCCUCUGCGACGCGGGCUCUGCAGAUCCGGCGGCGAUGCAGAUCCGGGGCGACGGCGUGGUGAAGGACGGGGCGGCGCGGCGCGGCCGAGGCCAGGCUCCGCUGGACGCGAUCGGAAGCAGAUAUCGAGAGAGAUAGAGAGAGAGAGAGAAAUCGGCGUUGAGGCGGCGGCGUGGUGAAGGACGGAGUUGGCGGUGGCCGUGUUGAGGCGGCGGCGUGGUGAAGGAUGGAGUUGAUGGUGGCCGUGGGAGCAUGCGGCGGCGCUGCUUGGAAGAGAAAGAUCGAGAAAAAGAGAGAGAAGAGAGAGGGCCAGCCGUGUAGAGAGAGAGAGGAGAGAGCGGAUAGAGAGAGAGAGAGAAAUGAGAUAAUGAAAGAAAAUUAGGGUUUGCCCAUUUAUAUAGAAGGGUAAUUUAGUUCAUUCAACAAAAAAGUGGGUAAAAUUUUAAGUUUUAAUUUGAGUGGGUAAAAUUUAUUUUUGUUAUAAGAAAAUGGGUACUUUGAUAUAUUAGCACU
rnacentral:lncRNA from 1 species